AAAUAAACCUGUAAAACCCGUGAAACUUACCCAACAGUUUUCCUUCAACUGGUUUUUCUGGAGAUACACUGAAAAUUAUUGCAAACUAAAGAUACAUUUUAACUAUUCCUAAAAUGAUUAAAAUGGCAAAUAUAAGAAGCACUUUUUUUUUUUAAUUUUUGAGACAGAUUCUCCCUCUUUGGCUUGAGUCACUUUAUUUAUCUUUUUGGGACAGAGCCUCAGGCAGGAGUGCAGUGGCACGAUCUCAGCUCACUGCAGCCUCAACCUCCCAGGUUCAGGUGAUCUGCCCAGCUCAGCCUCCUGAGUAGCUGGAACUACAGGUGCACGCCACUAUGCUCAGCUAAUUUUUGUAUGUUUUGUAGAGAUGGUGUUUCACCAUGUUGCCCAGACUGAUCUUGAACUCCUGGGCUCAAGCAUUCCUCCCGCCUCAGCUUCCCAGAGUGCUGGGAUGACAGGCGUGAGCCACCAUGCCUGGCUACAUAAGAAGCACUUUGAUAUCUCAGAGUCUGAGGCAGAAUUUCACAUUUUUAAGUCUUAAUUGAUAGAUAAAGUCUGGUUAUCAGACAGGUAUUCUGUUUAAGCUUUUGUGGUUUUCCCUACUCAUGUUAAAAAAAUUCAAAAAUUGAAAAUACUGAAGAUGACAACCUGCCCUAGUUUUUUUCAGUCUAUAUCCAUUCCACUGCAGGAAUGGAAGGAGGACAUAAAGGUCGCACAUUUUCAUACAGUUAGUCCUUCUGUAAAAUCUGUAAAGCCACUUUAUUAUUUAGGAACAGGGUCCCACUUUGUUGCCCAGGCUCACUGCAACCUUGACUUCCCUGGGCUCAUGUGACCCUCCCACUCCUCAGUCUCCCGAGUAGCUGGGACUACAGGUGUGCACCACCAUGCCCCGCUAAUUUUUAAAUUUUUUGUAGAGAUGGUGUUUCACCAUGUUUCCCAGACUGGUCUUGAACUCCUGGGCUCAAGCAUUCCUCACCUUAGCCUCCCAAAGUGCUGGGAUUACAGGCAUGAGCCACUGCUCCCAGCCACGAUAUUUGACUGCGGGCAUUUGUAGCAAUAUAGCUGAGGUUCAUUAAAAGGGAAUAAGACUGGGCAUGGUGGCUCACACCUGUAAUCCCAGCACAUUGGGAGGCCCAGGUGGGAGGAUCACUUGAGCCCAGAAGUUUGAGACCAAUGUGAGCCACACAGCAAGACUCCCAUCUCUAAAUAAUAAUAAUAAUAAAAACAGCCAGUCAUUGUGGCACACACCUGUAGUCCUAGCCACUCCAGAGGCUGAGGUGGGGAGAUGGCUUGAGCCCAGGAGCUCGAGGCUGCAGUGAGCUAUGAUCAGGCCACUGCACUCCAGCCCAAGUGAAAGCGAGACCCUGUCUCAAACAAAAACAAAAACCCCACCAAAACCACACUUGAAUAACUUUGAGAAAAUUACUUAUGUGUUCUGUUAAUUUGUGGUGAAAGAUAAGUGACAGAACAUGCCAAAUGUUUACUUAGCACAUUGCCUGGCUUACUCUACCUACUUUACAUGUUAGCUUCUGCUUCUGGAAUUAAAAUAGUCAAAAGAAUAGUUAAAAGAGUUCUGUGCUGGGUCACUCCAGUCAUUUCACACCUUCCUCACUAAUUAUCUCUUCUUUGUAUUAUUCUAAUUUGGGGCAGAGGAUAGGCAUGAGGAGGAGUGAGGAGGAGUUUCAUGAGGGGGUCAAGGCAAGGUAUGGUGAAGGCAGGUGAACAUCAGAAACAAUCUUCCUAGUUCACUGUUUUUCCCAAGCUGGCAUUUCAAAAUCAUGUCUUAUCACAGACUGCCUGUUCUUGAUAUACUUGAAUUAUAAAUUUGUGACGGUCAUGUAUAGGUGAUAGUGGUGGACAGGCAAAAGGAUAGACGGAUGACAAUUGCCUUAUGGUGUAAUACAGUAUGACAGGCUGACUUGAAUACAGGGCAAUGCAAAAUGAGAAACAUGAAGUGUAAGGCAGUUCCCUCAGAAAAGCUUGUAACCCAGUGGUAUCUUCAGGGUUUGAUAACUGGUAUCUUCCAUUGAUGUUUUUUAUUUUUUCCUUUAACAGGAGACAUAUUUGUGGAAAUAGCAUUUGGAGUCCCACUCCUCCACUUAUCUGUGACCAUGGGCUAAAAUUAUUUAUCUGGGCUUUAGUUUCUCCAUCAUUACAAUGAAGAGAUGUGCUAUCCUUUUCCACCCUGUUCUAAAAUUGUGUAACUUUUUUUUUUCUUUUUUGAGACAGAG
rnacentral:lncRNA from 1 species